rnacentral:rRNA from 1 species
CAGUAGCCGCGGGAAUACGUAGGUGGCGAGCGUUGUCCGGAAUCAUUGGGCGUAAAGGGAGCGCAGGCGGGCAUGUAAGUCUUUCUUAAAAGUGCGGGGCUCAACCCCGUGAUGGGAAAGAAACUAUGUGUCUUGAGUACAGGAGAGGAAAGCGGAAUUCCCAGUGUAGCGGUGAAAUGCGUAGAUAUUGGGAGGAACACCAGUGGCGAAGGCGGCUUUCUGGACUGUAACUGACGCUGAGGCUCGAAAGCCAGGGGAGCGAACGGGAUUAGAUACCCCCGUAGUCCCUGUCUCUUAUACA